GUCCCAUUCGUCUAGAGGCCUAGGACACCGCCCUUUCACGGCGGUAACAGGGGUUCGAACCCCCUAUGGG
rnacentral:tRNA from 1 species